CGCCGCCGUUCCGAGUUGGGGGGUUUCUGUGUUGUGGGUCCGGGAAGAAGCGAGCGUGGAAAGGUGCCGGGUUCUCGAACGCUGUUUCUGUCCACUGCCACCCUCCUCCCCGUUCUGGGAGUGGGAUUAAGUCGUGUCUGUGGGUCUGGCCAUCUCCGGAGUCUGCAGCUUGGGGCCGAUUCCUCGGUCUCUACCUCCUGUUGCAGGUCUUUUUCGGGCUCUGUGGCUUCUUUGGUUCACGCGUCUCCCGACACGCAUACGCACAGUCCUGAACGAUUUCCAGACCAGACUUUAGGCAAAGAAAGAACAGACUUCAAGCAAACUUUUCUCUACUGAAUAGGAUUAUAUAUUUUAUCACCUUGUGAAGAAUUUCAUCAGAAACAACAUCUCAUUGCAUAUUUGCAUCUUUUCUUGAAAAUUCCUCAAAUAUAUCUAUUGUGGGCAAUUACAUGAAUUCAUCUUUAUUUUUUGGCUACUUAUGCUUACACAGAACUGAUACUCAAAGCCAAUGUGAGAAUUAGAACUCACAAAAAUGAUCACUUUUUUGAAAGGUCCUUAAUCAUUCAACAGAGACAUAAUAACUUUAUUGGAUGGAGCAAUACUUCUUGCUAAUCAGCAUAUACACACCCAGUGACCUUGCAUGAAGAAGCAGCCUGUCUGCAGAAGAUUGCAUCUCAUCUAUACAAAGCAGGAGUGAUGUUGUCAAUGUGUGUGUGUGCAUGCAUUUAUGUAUCUGUAUGCUUGUGCAGAGAGGGGAAGAUGGGGGAGGGGAUGUGGCUUUGUUACUUAGCUUGCUUGAUUUUUAUCCACAGUUAUUAAGAGGUAAAACAUUGUAGCUCAACCCCUAGAAGUGGUCGUUUGCUUUACAGAGAGGAAAAUCUCUGCCCCCUUACCAUGGCUUGCAUUUCCAGCCCCAAAAGGCAAAAACAGGGAGCACGUAACUCAGUGGAAUCAAUAGCACGACCAGAAAGUCAAUUCAGUCAUAUGAUGGUGGAUCAGUAUCAUCAUUGUAAAGGAGAGGAGAUCACUGUACUGUCAGAUGCAUCACUCUGACUUUCCCCCAUCACUGUGGAAAAAGGAGGGAAAAAAGCCUUCAAUCAUAAUAGGAAAGGUAAACAGUUUUUCAAACUUACAAACAUAUGUACAUGUCUUCCUCUGUAUCAUUUCAUGUAUGUUGUUUUUAUGUAUGUACCUGUACAAAAAGAUGUAAAUAUCACUUAACCUUGAGUAAUAUAAUAAUACAUGUGAAUUCUAAUUUUAGUUCCACUAAGUAUUAAUAAUUAAUGGUAACUUCGUUGAGUGUGAGAAUUCCACAAGGUUGCGUUAGAAUUCUGAAUGACAUUUUGUUUUUGCUUUAUUGGGCUUUGAUAUGUCAGACAAGAGAAUUCAACUUUUCUCCUGUGUGAAUGAAUUCAAUAGUCUGUUGAGAGAGAUGCCAGUUUUUAGGUUGCAUCCACCAUUUUUAUUUUUAGCUCCAUCUGUUGUCUUUAAUCAAGUUGCUGUUAAAACUCUGAUAAAAUACUUGGUUUGUAGCAUUGGUAUUGUCCCCACCAGCUUCCCUAAAAUGAGCGCUCCGAUUCUAAUCCCCAAAGAUGUUUGAAUUUGUCUCCAGUUGACAUCCAAAAGUCUCAUCUUCCUGGAUUUCCUUCCUCCUCUUGCCCCCUCUGCCCUUUCCCACUAUCCCAGUUCCUAGCAUCUCCCUGACCCUUGGGUUAGAGCCCAGGGAGAUGGACCACUGAAUCCAACCUGGGAAAAUGACAGGAAGUACGUGCAUUCUUCAAAGUGAGGCAUUUGCUGUUAUUGAGCAUCUAUUUUAACAUAACUCAGAUGCAGUGGUAUUAAUUUGUAUAUGAAUAUUUCAUUUAAUAAUAAUGAUUGAGACUGUCCUCUAUAUCAGAGGUAAGCAUAUACAGUACAGCCUGUUCUUUAACUCCUUUUUCCUCACCUGACUCAAUUUUCUGUUGAUUAAAUGUUAGACUGAGAAUGAAAGUAUACUUGUUAGAUUUGGCUACUUAUUGAAAGCUGCAGUUUUGGCUAGGCAUAGUGUGGCUUAUACCUGUAAUCCCAGCACACUGGAAGGCUGAGG
rnacentral:lncRNA from 1 species